rfam:Mycobacterium marinum M, complete genome.
UUUGAUCGAGCCCAGCCACAGGGGCUCGGUGCGGUCCUGUCCAUAGGUGGCCAAAAUCGCCUGGGCCUC